UACGUGGGUCACAAGCGUUAUUCGGUGUUACUGGGCGUAAAGUGUGCGUAGGUGGUUUGUUAAGUUAUAUUUUAAAUAUUCUCGCUUACCGAGAAAAGGGGAUGUAAUACUGGCAGACUUGAGUUUUCUUAAGGGAAAUCGGAAUUUAUAGAGGAGCAGUGAAAUGCGUUGAUACUAUAAAGAACACCAGUGGCGAAAGCGGAUUUCUGGAAGUUAACUGACACUGAGGCACGAAAGCUAGGGGAGCGAACCGG
rnacentral:rRNA from 1 species